rnacentral:lncRNA from 1 species
AAUGUUCUUUGUGCUGGAAUUGACCUGGUUGUUAACCUAACUGGAUGAUUUGAUAGAGGCAAGAUAGAACAAUUGAGAUUUCUGACAAAGUUGUCAGGGAAAUAUAAUUGUAAAAUUGAAGAAUGGAACAGGAGCAGAUGGCAAUAAAUACCCAUGCUGAAGCAAUGAAAAUGACAGUUGGAAACCUUGAGAAUUCUGAAUUAAAUGUUUGGAGGAAGAUUGUCAAGAGAAAAAAGUUACAUGUAUAAAAUCUACAGUAGAAUUGGAAGAUGGAUCUAAUGAGAAUAACACUAAGGAAACACCAUCCUUCAAAAACUAAAAGCUCCUUGAUGAGACAAGAAAAUGAAGUGUCCCAGAAGAGGAAAUGCAGUAAGUGUUGGGGAUAAAAAGAAGGUUAGAAAGCGAACAAUUUCAGAAGGGAAGAAAUGACCUCUAAAAGGGAAGCUGGGAUGAUAGCAAAGGCAAUGUCAACGUCCUCACAAUUUCACUUAGAUUUUCCUGGCUACUCUGCAGAAGGCAUGAUAAGAUAAAUGCUUAUUGAUUUCAAGAUCAAGGCAACAGGAUCCUUUCUGUUUAAUUAUUUCUUUGUAAGUUAAAAACUAAAUGCUUUGGCAAGUGCUGUAAAU